rnacentral:rRNA from 1 species
AGUGAACGCUGGCGGUAGGCCUAACACAUGCAAGUCGAACGGCAGCACAGUAAGAGCUUGCUCUUACGGGUGGCGAGUGGCGGACGGGUGAGGAAUACAUCGGAAUCUACUUUUUCGUAGGGGAUAACGUAGGGAAACUUACGCUAAUACCGCAUACGACCUACGGGUGAAAGCAGGGGAUCUUCGGACCUUGCGCGAUUGAAUGAGCCGAUGUCGGAUUAGCUAGUUGGCGGGGUAAAGGCCCACCAAGGCGACGAUCCGUAGCUGGUCUGAGAGGAUGAUCAGCCACACUGGAACUGAGACGCGGUCCAGACUCCUACGGGAGGCAGCAGUGGGGAAUAUUGGACAAUGGGCGCAAGCCUGAUCCAGCAAUACCGCGUGGGUGAAGAAGGCCUUCGGGUUGUAAAGCCCUUUUGUUGGGAAAGAAAAGCAGCAGGUUAAUACCCCGCUGUUCUGACGGUACCCAAAGAAUAAGCACCGGCUAACUUCGUG